CGGAGGGUGCAAGCGUUAUCCGGAUUCACUGGGUUUAAAGGGUGCGUAGGUGGGCAGGUAAGUCAGUGGUGAAAUCUCCGAGCUUAACUCGGAAACUGCCAUUGAUACUAUCUGUCUUGAAUUAUCUGGAGGUGAGCGGAAUAUGUCAUGUAGCGGUGAAAUGCUUAGAUAUGACAUAGAACACCAAUUGCGAAGGCAGCUCACUACGGAUAUAUUGACACUGAGGCACGAAAGCGUGGGGAUCAAACAGGAUUAGAUACCCUGGUAGUCCACGCCCUAAACGAUGGAUACUCGACAUCAGCGAUACACUGUUGGUGUCUGAGCGAAAGCAUUAAGUAUCCCACCUGGGAAGUACGAUCGCAAGAUUG
rnacentral:rRNA from 1 species